rnacentral:lncRNA from 1 species
AAGCAUGCCCAAUUAAAUGGCAACGGGAUAGAUAGUUGUACAUGCAUACCACUGGCGUUUAAAUAGCAAGAAAGAUGAUGAUCAAAAAGAGAAUAUACUAUAAAAAAAAUGUGUUUUUGUGAUGAAUUUUUAGUGACAAAAUAAAUUAUCAUCAUUAUAAAUAAAGCUUUUACAAUAAAUUAUAAUUUUGUUGUAAAAAGUCAAUUUUUUGUGAUGAAAUCUCUUUUUGUCGGCAG